UCAGCCGAAACGAGGCACGGCGCACAGCUCAGUAGCACGUGGCUAAUCUGCCCUUAGGACGAGAAUACCCCCGGGAAACUGGGGCUAAUUCGCGAUAGGCGAAGAACACUGGAAUGUGUCUUCACCUAAAAGACCCUACGUUAUGCUCGUAGAAGUCGCCUAAGGAUGAGGCCGCGACCGAUCAGGUUGUUGGUGAGGUAAUGGCUCACCAAGCCUUUUACCGGUGCGGGCCGUGAGAGCGGGAGCCCGGAGAUGGGUACUGAGACAAGGACCCAGGCCCUACGAGGCGCAGCAGUCGCGAAACCUUUGCAAUACACGAAAGUGUGACAGGGCUAUCCCGAGUGCCAUCCGCUGAGGAAGGCUUUUACCCAGUCUAGAAAGCUGGGGGGAAUAAGGAGAGGGCAAGUCUGGUGUCAGCCGCCGCGGUAAUACCAGCUCUUCGAGUGGUGUGGAUGUUUAUUGGGCCUAAAGCAUCCGUAGCUGGCUAGGUAAGUCCCUUGUAAAAUCCACCGAAUUAAUCGUUGGAUCGCGGGGGAUACUGCUAGGCUAGGGGACGAGAGAGGCAGACGGUAUUUUCGGGGUAGGGGUGAAAUCCUAUAAUCCCGGGAAGACCACCAGUGGCGAAGGCUGUCUGCUAGAACGCGCCCGACGGUGAGGGAUGAAAGCUGGGGGAGCGAACCGGAUUAGAUACCCGGGUAGUCCCAGCUGUAAACGAUGCAGACUAGGUGUUUGGACGGCCACGUGCCGUUCUAGUGCCGCAGGGAAGCUGUUAAGUCUGCCGCCUGGGGAGUACGAUCGCAGGAUUGAAACUUAA
rnacentral:rRNA from 1 species